ensembl:lncRNA
UUUUAUUCUUUGAUUGCUAAUCUAUUCAUUUGGCAUGUGAGAAUCAUAGCCGAAGUAACGCUUGGACCUUUAAAUUAGGUCUAUUUUUCUGGGAAUUGCCGAUAGUGACGUGUCUUGAUUUUACGAAUACAGACAAUUGUAAAGUGGGUUUAUUUGCGGACAGUCUUAGUCAUUCAAAUAGCAUUGGUGGUUCAGUGGUAGAAUUCUUGCCUGCCACGCGGGAGGCUCGGGUUUGGUUCCCAGCCAAUGCGCUUACUAAAAUCAGAGUUUUUGAUUGUAAUUAAACUAUUGUAUGUUUUGCCUCGAAAGACACAGUCGCUAGUGUUUGGUGAAGAUAUAAACGGAACGUUUUAAAUAGUUUGUUUGGUUCAAAUUGAAAGACUAAUUCAUUCAACUUAAAAUAAUAGCGAAGCGAAUUUUGAUGCAAGACGAUGUCUGUUGCCUAAAGGAUCUGCUGGAAUAAUGUAUUGAGAAUUGAGUCGUAUUUAAAUUACUGUAUCAAUAGAGGAGACAGUUACCUAAAUUAAAGAAAUUGUAAAUAGUAGCGGAGAGAUAAUGGCGAUAGAGUGGUGCCCACCGAAAUGUUUUUCAUUCUUAUAGAUUGACUGGCACGUGAUAAUUUUGGCGCUGUGUGUGUUAUUUUUAAAGUCUUGGACAUCCCAUAAGUGUGAAGAGGAAAGAGAAGAGAAAGUUGUAAAGUUUGGUUUUAAUCUUACGAUAGAGGGUAUUCCAGACAUGGGAAGCUCUCACACUGAAAGCAGAUUGACUUAAGGAUUCCUUCUUCCGGGACAGAUGGAAGUUAUCUAAAAUAUGCCUGGACUGUGAGCCAGCUCAUCUAGGUGAGUGUAUGGCGUGUUCUGGUUUGUCUGCUCUGCUACGCGCAGAUCCACCCGAUUGCGACGAUAGAGGGAGCCACCAACAUCCACCAGGUAAGAACGUGGUGCAACUCUCUGCAGGCAUGUGCCCAGCCUCAAGUCCUGUGUGGUCUCCCGGCAGCGGUUUCAUCCUUAUCGUUUCACCCACCUCCAGCUCUGGUAGGUCCCGAGCAGUCCGGUCGUAGAAGCACUUAGCGAGCUGCUUUCUGUGACGCAGUUUGUCCGUGACGCCAACCAUGACGCAGGGCUCAAGUAG